rnacentral:rRNA from 1 species
AGCUCCAAUAGCGUAUAUUAAAGUUGUUGUGGUUAAAAAGCUCGUAGUUGGAUCUCAACACUGACUUUUUUACCCGUGUGUUUUGCCAGAAUCUUACGGGUGAUCUUUACCGAUUGUCCGUUGGAACUGGCAGGUUUACUUUGAAAAAAUUAGAGUGCUCAAAGCAAGCUUACUGCUUGAAUAGUUGCGCAUGGAAUAAUAGAAUAGGAAGUCGUUUCUAUUUUGUUGGUUUUCGGAAAUCGACUUAAUGAUUAAUAGGGAUAGUCGGGGGCAUUCGUAUUCAAACGACAGAGGUGAAAUUCUUGGACCGUUUGAAGACGAACUAAGGCGAAAGCAUUUGCCAAGAAUGUUUUCA